UACGUAGGGGGGCAAGCGUUGUCCGGAUUUAUUGGGCGUAAAGCGCGUGUAGGCGGCUCGGUAAGUCUGCUGUGAAAGUCCAGGGCUCAACCCUGGGAUGCCGGUGGAUACUGUCGAGCUCGAGUCCGGAAGAGGAGAGUGGAAUUCCUGGUGUAGCGGUGAAAUGCGCAGAUAUCAGGAAGAACACCAAUGGCGAAGGCAGCUCUCUGGGACGGUACUGACGGCUGAGACGCGAAAGCGUGGGGAGCGAACAGG
rnacentral:rRNA from 1 species